GCACAUUUGUCUAUGAGCUCACAAUGUGGGGCAUGCAAGCUACCUGGGGCUCUGUGAGCUCCCCUACCACAGUGCCAUAAGUGGAGCUGAUGGAUCAGCAAGAUGUAUCUUGGUGAAAUUUCAAACACUACUCAGCAUCAAAUUGAGGAAUAAUUGCCACUACAGCAGUGAGAACUCCUGCAAUGAUGGACUUCCAUGAGACCUGGGAUUUCAUUGUCCAGUUUUCACCGUACCCCUUCACAAACAACUGUGGAAUAACUAAAGAAGAGUCUUCUUUCCAUUUACCUAAAGUGCAACAACCAGA